AUAAUUUCCUUUCUCUGUCUUUUCUUCUCACAAUUUCUCUUCUCAACCUCACUCACUUUCUUCUCUUCUCCCACUCCAGAUUCUCCUCUCUCCCCUUUUUAGUUCACUAUUGCUGGGAAAUCAGCUGAUUAAUUCACCUCGGUGAAAUCAAAUAGAGAUGCGAGCGAUGGAGGCUGGCAAGAGUGACAAGGAAGAAUCUCACGUUCUUGAGCUCAAUAUCAUCUCGGCGCAAGGACUCAAAGAACCGACGGGAUUGCAGACUUUGUCGAUUCCUCCAACCAGCUCCGUACUUGGAUUGAUCGUAUCAAAAAAUUCUGAUCCGUAGCACUCUUCGGGAAAACCCCGUCUCUCCGGACGCCGAGAGUCCCGUUCUACUGAUCGGUGAGGAUUCUGCUGCACUUGAAUUAGGCAAACAGAAGCUUGCUUCCUAGCUUUAUUUCGGAUUGUCCUUGGAGUCGUUCUUUUCAUACUCAACAUAGUUUGCAUCGAUAAUUCCACCAGUUUUGGAAAAUGCAUCGACACCGUCUCUAGCAUCUCCGAUUCACCGGAGGUUUUCUUUAUAAACCAUAGAUACGACAGGUCACAGUUAUGGUAGCUUCAUGGUAUUCUAGGAGUCCAUGAAGCUGUUUAGAAAGCUAAUUUUGUAUCCUUCAACCUACAAUCUUCUGGAGGUAGCAGCUGUUGAUAAACCAAAGAUGCAUCUGUGGGACACAGACAUCAUGAGAAUCACUCGACACCCUCAGUAACUGCAUCAGCUUCUCUCGGUUUGAUUGCACAACAUUUGUUUGGGGCUUGGAAUGAAGACAUGAGAUUAGGUAAAAGAUACGGAGAAGCUUUUGAAGGCAUCAAGAAGAGAACAAGUGUGGUUCCUUUUGCUGCCAUUUUUGAAGGACGCCAAGUUUUGCUUGAGGAUUACUACAAAAAAUGUAUGUAAGGUAGAUUACCAGAGUUUGUAAGUUCUUUGGUGAGAUGUUAUCUUGGAUGUUUUGUUUUAUCUGUUAUGAGUUCUUCACAAAACAAGAAGAAAAAAAAAAAGAA